rnacentral:misc_RNA from 1 species
GAUGAAGAACGCAGCGAAAUGCGAUAAGUAAUGUGAAUUGCAGAAUUCAGUGAAUCAUCGAAUCUUUGAACGCACAUUGCGCCCUCUGGUAUUCCGGGGGGCAUGCCUGUUCGAGCGUCAUUAUAGCCACUCAAGCUCUCGCUUGGUAUUGGGGUUCGCGGUUCCGCGGCCCCUAAAAUCAGUGGCGGUGCCUGUCGGCUCUACGCGUAGUAAUACUCCUCGCGAUUGAGUCCGGUAGGUCUACUUGCCAGCAACCCCCAAUUUUUACAGGUUGACCUCGGAUCAGGUAGGGAUACCCGCUGAACUUAAGCAUAUCAAUAAGCGGAGGA